rnacentral:lncRNA from 1 species
UUCUCUUCUUCUUCCUCUCCCUCUCCUUCCAUUUUGAUCUGCACCUCCCUCUCUCUCUCUCUGAAGACCGUACUCAUCUUCUUCCUCUCCCUCUCCUUUCAUUUCGAUCCACAUCUCUCUUUCCAUCUCUCCAUGUUCGAUCUACACCUCCCCCUCUCUCUCUGUUGCACUAUUUCCUUGAAUCUCUCUCUGUUUGAACUGUUCCUCAAAUCUGGAAACGUAAUUCAUUUGCGUAAUAACAAUCAAUUUGUACAAAAAAAUUGUUCCACAACAAUCGAUUUGUGCAAAUACCCAGAUGCAAAAAAAUUGUUCCAUACAAAUCGUAAUUCAGUUUGGAAGUAGGGAGGAUUAACACAUUGAAAAUAUCCAGAUGCAAAGUUUGAAACUUUUGGGAAAAUUAAAAUGAAAGAGAAAGAGGGAAAUUGGAAUUGUGAAGCUUAAAGUGAGGAUUUUUGAGAAAUUGAAUUAUGGGAGAAAGGUUUACGAUGUGGAAAUAGGAAUCUGAUAGCUUUGCAGGCUUGUUGAAUCUCCGACGCGGCCGUGGGAUAAACGGAGGGAGAAGGAGUGCGUGGGUGGUGGUUGUUAAACAGAAUGAGAGUGAGAGGGAGGGGGGAGCGGGAAGAAGAAGAGAAGGAGAAUGAGGGUAGAAGAUAGGGGUAAGUUGGUAAUUUUGCAUGAUAUUUGAUGACACAUCCACUAAUGACAUGCCACGUAAGUAAUCAAACGAGAUAAGGACGAAUUCUCAAAUGCUUAAUAUUUGCAGUGACAAAAUGGAAGGAUUAGUAAGAUCAGGGAUGAAAUUUCAAAUGACUAUAUUUGCAGGGAUGAAAUACAUAUUUUAGCCUUAAUUCAUUCACGCGUGUUUAAGAAUUAGAUAGUUCAUUUCUUAAUCUGCCAACACUCCAAACACUAGUCAAAAAUUUCUUUAAUAGUUGCAAUUUGUUUUUAUUAUUACAGGUUACAAAAGUUUCUUUAUAAUUACAUGAUAUUUGCUUAAUCAAUUGCUAUAGG